rnacentral:rRNA from 1 species
UCGAGAAUAUUCGACAAUGGGCGAAAGCCUGAUCGAGCGACGCCGCGUGCUCGAAGAAGCUCUUCGGAGUGUAAAGAGCUUUUGCCGUUGAACAAGUCGCAAGACUGAGGGUAAACGGCGAAUAAGGAGAUCCAAAUUCUGUGCCAGCAGGAGCGGUAAGACAGAAUCUCCAAGCGUUAUCCGGAUUUAUUGGGCGUAAAGAGUCUGUAGGCGGUCUAUUAAGUCUGGUGUUAAAGACCCUGGGCUUAACCUAGGGAAGGCGUCAGAUACUGAUAGACUAGAAGGCGUUAGGGGUUGGCGGAACGCACGGUGUAGGGGUGAAAUCCGUUGAUAUCGUGCGGAACACCAAAAGCGAAGGCAGCCAACUAGAACGGUCUUGACGCUGAGAGACGAAAGCGUG